rnacentral:lncRNA from 1 species
CAGCUGGAGUAGCUAAUGGACACAAAGGUGCAAGGACACCAUUUCCUCCUCGCCAUUCCUCUCACCUUCCCUAUAGUCGCUGCCAGGCUGUACUGUGCCUGCUUCUCUCCUGGAUUCCAGAAUGUUUCCCUGUCUGGCCUAUCUUGACAAGAGUCCUAGGGAAAGGAUUACCCAUUAUCCCAGUAGGAAGCUAGACAUUAGAAAACAUGCUCAUGAGAGUGGUUCAGGAAUGUUUCAGAUCAGACUAGGUCCCAGCAUCCUCUACAAGAAAAUGAGACUGAUGGUACUAAUCUGUACAUCCAGACUUUUUUCUCAUGCUAAACACUACUAGGCUAGGGUGAACUGCAUUCUAAGAAACACAGCCAGAUGUAGGCCUGUCACCGAGUACAGUGGCCAUCCACCCGGAUACCCAGGUAUGUGUUGACCCACACUGGAAGUCUGAGCCCAGAAGCAACCCUCUAGCCACGCAUUCAGAUGAACUGAAGGGGACUGCGCCAAUGGAAAAGGUUGGCUUUUCCAUUGGUUGGCUGUUGAUGGGCAUCUUUAUCUGGUGGUGUACUUGUUACAGACGGUGCAGUAAAUGCACAAAAUAUAACCUCAGGGGCGUGGGGUUCUGUCUGGGUAGAUAGCACAGGAGGAGUGUGCUUUUGCUGUGGCUUCCUUUGCUGGACUAAAUCCACAGGUCCUCUGGAAAGACAUGGCUUAUUACCGACUGCUGUAGUGGAAGGCUUUUCCAGAAGAUGAGUUUGAUAAAUUGUUUCUUUUUUUUCAGACCCCCUCUGCUGUAAACAAGAUAAAACAACUUCUUAAAGACAAACCUGAGCAUGUAAGUAACUGUUGAAAGUUAGCAAAGCUAAACUUCUGUUCUGGGGACAAAUGUAUUUAUUUUGUUGCAAGUAUAUAUGCUUUCAUUGAUUGAGGUGUUUGGUUUUGUUAGUUUUUACCUUGGCAAGGAAGGAAUCAGCCCCGGCCUCACUAGUGAGGUGCUCUACAGGGAACUGCACCCAGACUCUUGAAUCUUACACAGGCUGCUCAUGAUCCUAGACAGCCAGACUCUACAGAUCAGCCUGAGCUUGUCUACGUGCUCACUGUGGCUGGGCACUCCCGGCCACCUGUGUGCUUUGGGCUGGCUAAGGAUGUUCUGGAGUGACCCUGGCCUCUGCCUGCUGCAUAGUAGUAUCACCCUCUCAAUUCCUAAGUUGUAAGGACCAAAAUCCUCCCCAGGGGACGACUGGCCUGCACAGCACUUGUCCUUGUGUGGGUUUCUCCUGCUUCCAUAGACAGUGUCAGUACGUGCUGUGGGUACACUUUGGUUUUACCCUGAUAAUUCAGCCUGAAGAUCUUCCAGGUCAUUAUCUAAAGGUCUCACUCUGUCUUAGUUAGGGUUUUACUGCUGUGAACAGACACCAUGACCAAGGCAAGUCUUAUAAGGACAACAUUUAAUUGGGGCUGGCUUACAGGUUCAGAGGUUCAGUCCAUUAUCACCAAGGCAGGAGCAUGGCAGCAUCCAGGCAUAGUGCAGGAGGAGUUGAGAGUUUUACAUCUUCAUCUGAAGACUGCUACUUGAAGACUGACUUCCAGGCAGCUAGAUGAGGGUCUUAAAGCCCAUGCCCACAGUGAUACUUCAACAAGGUCACACCUCCUAAUAGUGCCACUCCCUGGGCCAAGCAUACACAAACCAUCACACCCUCCUUCAUGGCUGCACGUAUCCCUGAGAAGGUUUGAUUUUUUUUUUACCUAACCUUGUGUAUGAGAGGUAUCUGGGUUUUCAUGUCUGCCACAGACAUCAUUUACCGGCUGUUGGUGAAGUGAGCCAGGCCCAGUGUUCUGGACCUGGAUGCAGGACUUACUAAGUCCACAGAAGAUCCAUCCUCAUAUGCAGGGUAGUUGAAUUGGGUCUGUUAGUCGCUUUGCGCUGUGGCCUAUGGGUAGUCAUUUGUUAGGCCUAAAGCUGUUUUCUGGGUACUCUUGAACAGCAAGACUGUACUGCUCACAGCUCCAUCCUGAAAGUUGUUAAAUGCUGACACACAUGUCAGCUCGCUGACUCUGUUUGGACUUUCUAGUGCAUAAAUUGACCAAGACCACCACCACCACCCCAAAAAAGUCCAUGAAAUUAGUUGUGCAGGUUUAUAAAGGUAUAUUUGUUCUUGAUGGUGUAAAAUGUGUAAUUUAUAGCAUUAGCAACUCCUUUUCCAAAACUCCCAUUACCUAAGCCUGUCCAGAUUGUAAUUCUGUGUAAAUGCGGCUGCCUUUGAACUCAAGGGAGAUCAGCCUAUCUCUCUCCUUCCCUAGUGUUGGGGCUGCAGGUGUGAGCUGCCAAGCCGGGCUUUAAACUGUAUUUUCAAAUCCUGAGGAGCUCUGUUUGCUUUUGCUUUGUGUGUUUCUGAGAGUGAGCAUAGAACUUCAGACACACAAGGCCAGCACUCUUCAGUACAACGCCCCUCACCCUGUCAGAACUCUAAUGUCCCUGCCUCAUGUUUGGACUUCUGCUUUCUUAAGGACUUCUGUGUACAGAGAU